CUUGCGGCAAACCUGAACACACUUCUCCACCAAAUCACUAGUCCACGGCCAGUCUCACGGCAGGACUGGCAGAGUCAUCAUGUCGAUCGGCUACAGAUUGCUUUCGCUCCUUGUCAUCGUCGUUGGGUCGACGCUGACCUUCUCUGCAGCACAAGGCCUCGGCCAAGACUGCAGGCUGCUGUCUGGAGGUCCUGGCGUGUGUCGGAGGAUCACUCAGUGUCCGAGAGUAGCUCAGUUUGCCAGCAGGCGAGAAGUAAAAUACUGCGGUACACUUGGUCGACUCGCCAUCGUCUGUUGUCCUCAGGAUUCCACCUCAUGUUCCGGCACAGGGAAUAACGACGGCAUCGCUGCGCCGGUAGUUAAUUUCGAGUGCGGACGCCAGGCCACGAGGACCCUGUCGCCCUUCGGUGGUCCUCUGUCCCGCCGCCGUCGCCAGAGUCAAUUCGGCCAAGGUUUCGACAUCGGGAACCCACAGCCUACUGUGGUUGGCGGCAUAACGUCCGAAACCAGCGCCUGGCCGUGGAUGGCUCUUCUCGGCGAACUGGACAGCACCAAGACUCCAGACUGGUUCUGUGCAGGCUCUCUGAUCAACGACCAAUGGAUCCUCACCGCUGCUCACUGCUUGGAUUCCAGAACACCAAGCAUCAUACGACUCGGAGAACACGACUACGACGACCCGAGCGACACCAGACACGAGGACUACGGAAUCAGCCAAAUAGUCGUCUACCCACACUACGUCUCAGGACAAGCUUAUCACGACCUCGCACUCAUCAAACUUAGCAAAAAGGUUCAGAUAAAGAACUUCAUCCGACCUGUGUGCCUGCCGUGGAACCAGCGUAGCCCCUCUCGACUUGUGAACAGUGGAGUCACUGUCACAGGCUGGGGAAAUACUCAAGCAGGCGGCCACAGGAGUUCGUCGCUGCAGGAAGUUCAGGUGAAGGUGUUCCCGUCGUCCACCUGCCAUGCGCAGUACAAGGAACUGGUGUUCUUCAAUACAGUUUGGCCUUCUGGAAUCAGCGAAGAGACCGUGUGUGCUGGUACUACUGCAGGGGGCAAAGACGCUUGUCAGGGUGACUCUGGCGGUCCGGCUGUGCACUUCGAAUGCAAUCGAUACACACUGGCGGGGGUCAUCUCCCAGGGCUUCGGCUGUGGCCUUCGGGAUUACGCCGGCCUCUACGUCAACAUCCGGCAACUGUUCUACCUCCAAUGGAUCAAAGAGACUGCGUUUUAAGGACGGUUAUGCGGAUGCUCAUGAAUGGUGCUUCGGAUUCUUGGGAAUACUUCUGAUCCUAAUUUGAAAACACAUCAUACGAGUAGAAUAACUAAAGUUGGUUUUAACAAUCAAUUUUCCAAAACUGAAAAAAAGACCAGAACCGAAGCAGCAAUGCAACCUGGAGACUGAAAUGAACAAUAAAACCUUCAGGGAAAAAGGUUUCGCUUCUGCAAAUCAAAAAUCUUCACAGUAACUCCGUCUAACAGCUGGGUGUCUCUCUCUCUCUCUCUCUCUCUGUUGACU
rnacentral:misc_RNA from 1 species